UAGAGCAAGAUCAAAUUCCAAUAUAUUCCAAAAUAGCAUCAACAAUUACAACAUGUAUAAAGAAACUAGCCAUUUUGAUUACAUUAACAUUGUAAUUAGAAACCGAAGCUAAGGCUAGUCCACCUAUUGUGUCCCGAGGAGCAACCAAAACUAUAUCAUAGAAACCACAUCUGUUAAGGAUUCGACGAACUACUCAGCUUUUAUUCUUUGUUUCCAUCACAAAUACCAUCUGGGGGGAAUGGGAUUUGUACAUCCCUUGUAGAUGAUGGACUGUCGGGGGUUCCCCACACCCUGACAGUUCCAAGAUAAAAGACUCAUUGUUCCUGGUGGGGCCACUCAUGGCUGGCCUUCGCUACCAAUUCAGACAUAGAUUUUCCUUUGCAAGACUUCUUGUGCUGUGUAACAGUCUCAUUGCUUUCUCUAUUUCUCUUUCCCUUUUCCUUCCUUGUCUUUGUUUCUUCUUCAUUUGUUUCACUGUCAUCUACAGUAAUUGCUCGAGUUACAAUUCCUUGUCCUCGAGCCCUUCUUUUCCAGCCACCAUGUUUCUGAGCAGGCGGCUAUGUUUCAUUUAUCUGUGGUACCACUUGCUAUGGCAAAGCAGCAUUGGCAUCAUUAUCUGUUCCAGUGGGACGAGGCUCAACUUCAUCCUCAUUAGGCAGAGCCCACAAAAUUUUGGCAAUUUGGAUAAGGUCGUCAAGAGGAAUAAGUUGUUUCGGCCCCAGUUCUUCUUCAGGUAUUGCAAGAAGCGCACGUUGGGCCCUAAGAGAUAAUUUUCGAUUGUUCCAAUCCGAAGCAUUUUCGGCCUUGUUCUUAGUAUUCCAACUAUUCAAAUACCCACUAGGUUCUGAAAGCCCAAUACAAAACUACAAUGGAGAGAUGGGUUCUGUUCUUUGAAAACGUUCGGUUCAAUAAGAGUUGAGGAAUCUUCGAGGUUUUAGGCUUGUAGUUCCCAAGAACUAGGGCCCAUAAGUUUAGGAGAGGGGGGUGAAGGAUAAGAGCUAGGGUUCUCAAAUGGUGGAGGGUGAAAGUUAAAGGUCUUUGAUGAAUGCAGCAGGUUCCAGACAGCUUUUUGGAAGUGGUUAACCAGGUAUGGAAAUUUUUGAAAAAGGUGAUCAGCUUUGAUAUGAUUUUUACCGAUUGAGUCUAGGUAUUGCUGGAACAAGAUAGGGAUUUGACUUAGAGGAAAUGGCUGCGGCUGGUAGAUGUUCGAGGUUUGCAGGUCAGGCUAAUGGCUCGAUGUAGAACCAGGAAACGCAGUUUUUGAAAAACCAUCCUCAUUGUUCCCAAAGGUACCCGAAAAAGGUAAAGGCGGAUUUGUUGGCUGUUUCUCGGUAUUAAUAGUGGUUUUGGGAGGAAGAACAAUGGUUUUAUCUGAAAGGGUCUGUGGGGGUGAAGGCAGUAAAGGCUCUAGUUGUGGAAGCAUCGGUGGUAAGGAGUAAAUAAGGGGGAGAGUGUUUGCCGUGUUAAGGGAAGUGGUUAGAAGAGGGGUUUGCAGGUGUGGGAAAAUUGAAUCUAUCGCGGGUGUGACAGAAGUCUGUUAGGGGAUUGUGAUGGUGAAUCAGAUAUAUCUUGAGAAAGAAGGGGGAUAAACAAGGGUGCGGUGGAGGUAAGGGUUGAAUCCAUGGAAGAGGUGUUAGAAAUUCCCAUAGAAAUGAUGGUAGAAGAGAUUAUUACCUGUUGCUGCUGCUGAGAAAAAAUAGGUGCUUUCAUCCAGAGGCCAUAGCGUGCUUUCGUAUUCUGAGAUUCUAAGCUUUGAUGAAGAAUAUUUUCUGCAUUUUAAUUCUUGCUAUAAUGCCCCAACACACCACAAGUAUAGCACAAAUCUGGAAGUUUUUCAUACUUAAACUGCACCCAAUUCAUAUUUCCAUUCUGUUUUUUACUGUAGAAACCUUUAGGAAAGGCCUUAUCCAGAGACAAUAGAGCUCAAAACCUCAGGGAGUGGGGGAAACCGAUGACACCAUCUUGAGCCAAAUCCACUUUCAAUAUUUCCCAACAUAAUUGCCAGUGGUGAUUGCAUUCUGUGUAUUAAGUUGGUUUGGGGGUAAUCCAUGCACAUGAUCCAGAAUGGGAAUUCUUCGAAGAUAAUUUCCUCUAGUGACUGAUGUGGUGGCCAUUCAGAAAUGGAAAUGUGCUGAUUCUGUAUAGUCCAAGGACGAUUCUGGAGCACAUAUUUAGCUUCUAUUUCGUGCUCAAAGCUAAACACAAAGAUGUUAUUCCUUGUAGAGAGAACAUUGAAAUCCUUCCUGUUUCUCUAGGACUUUGAAAGGGUGGAUUUGAUUAUCGUUGCAUUAAAAGUUCUAGUGGAGAAUAUCUUGCCAAUCAACACCUUUCUUUGCUGAUAUUUCUCUUGAACAGUAUCCGUUGCUAGUUGAAGGACUCUAUCCUCACAUUGAAGUUGUUGUGCCAUAUUGAUGAGUCUAUCUACUUUUUCUGAAAUGCCGGACAUGGUUGGUGAGAGAAGUUAAGAUGUUAGGAACCAGGUCAUUUAAGAGGUUGGAAGGCAGGAAGCGAUAAAACUGGUCACAAAACUACAGGAUGGAAAACUGGAAAAACAAGAGCGUGUCCAAAGGACAAUACACAGUAGCAUUGCAUUUGCACGGUUAAUGCUGCAUGGCGUUGUCCGCAGUUUGUAGAAAGGUGCGUCAAUUAUGGUCUUGGAGAACUACUUGCCUAGGUCCACUCUUACGCAAUAAUUUCCAUAUUAAUAAUUAAUAUAUUGCUGUCUCCUAUUCAUGUCUCAAAAUUACAGAUCUUUUUUUAGAACAGUAAUUUAUAAUAG
rnacentral:misc_RNA from 1 species